CGGGGAAAUGCAGACUCCCCAUUAGACGCUUGGCGUCCAAGUUCUGC
rnacentral:ncRNA from 1 species